rnacentral:lncRNA from 1 species
UUCUUGCCCACCUCUUAUAUAUGUUUAAGGAGCUAAAGGAGUCUGAAUGGUGAAUAGGCAGUGCACUGAGUUUUAAGAAACCUGCUCAUAUAUACGCCAAACUUCAAACUUAAAGUCUUCACUAAAUAUCAGUGUCUAUGUAUGUCCAUUGUUGGUAUAAUGUGUUUAUUCAGUAUAGACUACCAACAGUGUAAAUUAACAGAAUCUAUAUAGUAAAUCAGAUAACCGUGCUGCUCUCAUGUUUUGGAAGAAAGAACACUGUAUUGAUUCUUGGUCCAUGGUCUUGUAACUUGUCCUUUUUUUUUUUAACUGAAUUUUAUUAUGUUGCCUCCUAAAUUUGCUUGCUCAUUUCUUGUUUUUACCAUUUAUACAAUCCAUAAAUUGGUCACUAGGACUUAAAAUCUUAUUCUCCUUAUCUGUUAUUGUCUUGGUUUGUCAGGUCGUAUUAUUUUAGGUUGUAAGCUUAACCUUUAGUGUCUGAGCCUUAACCUUUAACGUCUCCCCAGCCUAAAUCUUACUUUAUGAAGCGCUUCUGCAUUUUUCAUACUUUACGUUCUUCUUCAAAAGUCAGGGUUUUGUGAAAUGUGCUCAGAGGGUCAAUAGGUUCUGGAACCCACACAGUUGUCAAACACAUUCCUUCGGUUGAGCAGUAAGCAUCUUUUAAGUGAAGGGCAACAUCUUAUGCUUUUCUUAUACAUCUUUACAACACCUGACUGUCAAGUAAAUAUUUAAAUGACUUGCUGUAGAAGGUUGGUAAGUCUGGGGGGAGGGAGAGAUUUCAUGAGAUAAGAUACAUAUAUAAUUGUAAAUAUGCACAUGUAAUCUACCUUUUGACAUUUUUUGAAUUUAAAUUUAUAAUUGACAUUUAACUUGUCCUUUUAUAAUCAUAUAACAUAAUCUUUGUUUCGUUUUAUUUGUAAGGUACAUCUUAUUCAGGUUAUGAAGCAGCCGUAUAUUCAGCUGCGUCUUCCUACUACCAACAGCAGCAGCAACAACAGAAGCAAGCAGCAGCAGCAGCUGCUGCUGCAGCAGCAACAGCUGCCUGGACAGGGACCACCUUUACUAAAAAAACACCAUUCCAAAAUAAACAACUGAAACCAAAACAGCCUCCCAAACCACCCCAGAUUCAUUAUUGUGAUGUUUGUAAGAUCAGCUGUGCUGGACCACAGGUACUUAUAUUGUGUAUUUACCAUGAGUCUCCGUGGUUAUUUUUCAUAAUUGAGUAGGGUUGAUAUUCUAACUCCUGUGCCUACAAAGCACAUUCACAUCUGUGUAUUCUACACUCAGCAGCUCACCCAUAAAUCAAAAAUGUGCAUGUGGAAAACUACAUUGGUGUGGAGUACCUACACUUUUUUUCCCUAUUACUUUCUAAACUGAACAGUAAAACUGUUCAGUAAGAUUUACAACAGGUAUUACAAAUAAUCUAUAGAUUUUAAUGUAUGCAGGUGAAAUAGAUUAUGUGCAAUAAUUUUGCUAUUUUAUUUAAAGAACUUGAGUGUGCUUGGAUUUUGCAACAAUUUCCUGCAGACACUGAGAGAUGGCUGUAUUUCACUAAACAUUUCUUUGAAAGUCGUUUGUGUUGAAACACAAAAGCAAUAAUCAGGAAAACUGUAAAAGUGGCUAUAAAUGUUUGAAAAAUAAGGAAAUUGAGCCCUCCACCCAUUCUAGGGUGCCUCCUUUGCUUUUUAUAUAAAACUUUAAAAGAUUUUUAAAAUUCCAAUUAUAAAUUUUGAUUGUAUUUCUAAUGAGUCUAUUUUGUACAUGUUUUAUAGAAUGUAACUUCUAUAGCUCUCUCCACAAGGGGACUGGGAACAUUGGAAAUGAGAAAAGUUAAGAAAGAUGACCUCCCGUGCUGGGGAUACAAGGCAGUCAGUGAAGUGCUUGCCUCUGUUCUGAGCCGUAGACCCAUCCCCACAACUACAGAAUCAGACAUGGUAGUUGCUGCACGCCUGUAAUCCCAGUACUGAGAGGUAGAAACGUUUAUUGUUGUCCUUGGCUAUAUAGUUAGUUUUAGGCCAGCUUUGGUGAGAGACCCUGUUUUCUUCUACUCACCUAAAAGAAGAUCAACCUAUGACAAAUAUGAGUCCUUUAUUAUUUUUUUCUUGUCAUGGUUCUACCAGCUAUACCUUAAAAUGUUUGUUUUAAAGCAUGGGUCUGUUAAUGAAUUCAUCCCUUUCUAAACUCCACCUCUUUUGACUAUUAAGAGAGCCCUGUUUUGUCAAGUAUGGGGGCGUACACUUGUAAUCCCAACAACUUGUACAGCAAAAGUAGGAAGAUUUCACACGGUCAGCCUAGACUGCAAAACAAGAGCCUGUCUUAAAAAAUGUUAUGUAGGAAUUUACAUAAGAAUUGGCUAGAGGGAUGGCUCAGUGGUUAAGAGCACUUGAUCUUAUAGAAGCCUUGGGUUGGGUUUCCAGAGCUUUGUGCUAACUCACUUAACCACAGUUCCAGGGGUGUGGUGCCUCUUCCCUCUGAGGGUAUCAGGCAUGAAUGCUUUUGAUUUGUUUUCUGAAAUUUUAGGGCUGGAGAGAUGGCUCAGUGGUUAAAAGCACUGACUGUUCUUCUGAUGGUCCUGAGUUCAAAUCCCAGCAACCACAUGGUGGCUCACAAUCAUCCAUAAUGAGAUCUGACGCCCUCUUCUGAUGCAUCUGAAGACAGCUACAGUGUACUUAGAUAUAAUAAUAAAUAAAUCUUUCUUUAAAAAAAAAUUUUAGCAGCUUGGCAUAUAAAAAGCAUAUUUGGGGAGAGUAGGUCAAAUUUAACUCUUCACAUAUUUCUGUUUCCAGCUCUAUUCUACCAGUAUAUCUCUCCACCCCCUUUUGAGACAGAAGACAGACAGACACAGGGUCUCACUAUGUAGUGCUUGGCUCAUCUUCCCUCUACAGCACCAACUCACUGUGUAUGUAGACCAGGCUGGCCUCAAACUCACAGAGAUCUGCCUGCCUCUCCUCCCAGGUGCUGGGAUCAAAGGCGUGUGCCAUUAUGCUUGGCUUAUAUGUACUCUUUAAUUUAUCGGAUUAAUUUUGUUUUUAAUACAUAAUCCUGCAAUAUUUUUUUUUGGUGUUUUCUGAAUUAUUGACACCUACUUAGUAUUAAAAUAUAUGUACUCGUAUUCAUUCUUAAGCAAUCUGUUUAACUAGAUUAAAUAUUAAAGUGCAUUCAGAUUUUCAAAUUUAAAUUUUAUAAAUAUAACUUUUUAUAAAGAACUACUAUCAUGCAGUAGUUUUGCAGAUUAAUUCUAUAAUCAGACUUGUGUAAUGAUUUUUUUAAGUUAUUAUUUUCUGUCCAGUGUUAUACAC